GAGAAGAGAAACAGAGAGAGAUAUAAUAUAUGAUUGGUGUUUUUUACUGUUCCUUUAGAAGUUUUUAACUGGGUUAUAUUAGAAAUCAUUGUUAAGUAUCGUUGGAAGUAAUAUAUUUCUCAUUGUGCCAUUGGUUUGACUGUCUUGAAUGUUGUUUCCUGUACAGAUGUUGACGUAAGUUCACAUUUUUUACAUAAUAUUGACAAUCAACCUUAAAAUCCACAUAAUUUUAACAUCAAUUUAACAUAAAAAAUCUUCAAUUUUGUUUUGGAUUCAAGGUGUUUACUAUAAAACGAAAUGCCUUUGAUUAUGUACAUUUCUUAACAUAAUACAGAAUUGACUUUUACCAUCGAUUUGUUUUUCAUUAUAUUGGUGAUGAAGGCCAUGUAGGAGAUCUUCAUGAGUUUCUACAGAAAGGGAGAUAAAUCCAUCAACUCCCACACCCCUGGGACCAUGCACCGUCACGCCAGCGCCCUCGGUGGCUGAAGUCUAGUGCUCUUUAUAGCUCCAUCGUUUCUAAUGAUAAAGCUGUUAAAAAACCAAAGAAGAAGAUGAGGUAAUGAAAACCAAAGCAUCUGUGUACCGAAUCUCAAAGGAUAAUUUUGUAGUUCGAGAAGUGUUUGGACUAGGGGCACACAUACCUGUCGGAGCAAAAACUGCUCAGAAGAUAACCAAAAGGGAGAGGAGACCCAUUCCAAUGCUGCUGCUUUCAAACCCUUAACCAAAGCCCAAUCCAAGCACUGCGAUAAACGCUCCGUCAUGAUGAACGGGGAUUGACAGGACGCCACCAAGCACCGCGAUAAACGCUCCGUCAUGAUGAACGGGGAUUAACAGGGUGACGUUACUAGGUGACCUCCGCAUUUACUGGAUGACCUCUACAAGAAGGAUAAAACCUCCAGCUUCAUAAACCUCUCUCAAGAUGUACUACUAUUAUCUGUGAUUUUGUCAUCACUGAUGUCACUGAUGAUGUCAUCAUCAAUUUAUGAUGUAAAAGUGUAAUAGUGUAAAUUUGAUUUUAAUGUAAAAUAUAUGUAUUAGAUGUAUGCUGAUUUUUUUUAAUUUUAAAUGUAUGAACUGUGCUAUUUUGUUUGAUUUUUUUUCCAUCUGCAAAGUGUAGAACCUGGUAUUUAAAUUAUUGAUAUCAUUUUCAUUGUUUAUGGUUCAGCAUUGGCUAUGGGUAUGACACCAUAUAUUUUCUUUGUUAUCCUAUGAUCUGAGUUAUAGAAUGUCUCAGGCAAUUGUUUGUUCAUUUGUUGAUUUUUUAUGGUCCCCAUGACAUCUUUUUUCUUCGCUUUUAGUAAAGUACAUGUACAAAAAUGUACAUUUAGGUGAAACACAUGUUUAUUAGUUUUGUUUUUGCCACAAUUGUACUUGAAUGAAAAACAAAUGCUAAUGGUAUCUUGACUUUGAAUGCGAAAGGUCUUAUUAGAACAUAUUUUUUUAAAAUCUGCAGUAUAAGUACAUAUUUUUUUGACAGAAAAGCAACUUUGUUCAAAUCAUCAUAAAAUAUGAUUUAUUUUGGAAAUAAAAAUGAUUAUUAUGAUAAUUCAUCAUUUUUUAUGUUGUCACUUUGUUUGAGAAAAUUGAUUAAUGAACUAAUUUUUGCAUGUGUUGUCUUCACUGCCAUUCAUACAAUAAAAAUUGACCCCAUCCCAUCUAUAUAGUUUAAUUGAUUUCAACACUCAGGUAAAGAGUUUUCAAAUAAAAAAAAUUUGUUUAUUUUGUAAAUUAAGGUUCAUGUUACUAUUAUUGUUAUUCUUAUAAUAUACAAUAUGGAAAUUUUCAAGGACGAAAUUCAAGUUGUACCAUGUUGGACAAAACAAAACCCAAAAACAUUUGUGAUUGAUAAAUAAAAAUUACUGAGUCAAGGAAAUACAUGUAAAUGGUUGUUCAUUUUUAAAAAAUAUUAUUCAUGUAUUUAUGAUUUAAAACAAAGUUAUUGUACAUUCAGUCCAAAGUCAUAUUUAUCUAUCUGUAAAAGCGGGUCAUAUUUGUCAUUCUUAUGGUUGCAAGUCAGGCUAAAUAAUUCAGUACUAUGAAAGAAUUAAAACACUCUUAAAACAUUUUUAUUUGAUAGAUAUCUAUUUGAAUGUUGAAGUCGAUAUUUUGUUUGACUGCCUUACAGUAAAAAAUAAAUAUAUACAUU